UACGGAGGGGGCUAGCGUUGUUCGGAAUUACUGGGCGUAAAGCGCACGUAGGCGGCUUUGUAAGUUAGAGGUGAAAUCCUGGAGCUCAACUCCAGAACUGCCUUCGAUACUGGCGAUCUUGAGUCCGGAAGAGGUGAGUGGAACUCCUAGUGUAGAGGUGGAAUUCGUAGAUAUUAGGAAGAACACCAGUGGCGAAGGCGGCUCACUGGUCCGGUACUGACGCUGAGGAGCGAAAGCGUGGGGAGCGAACAGG
rnacentral:rRNA from 1 species